CUACGGGAGGCAGCAGUGGGGAAUAUUGGACAAUGGGCGCAAGCCUGAUCCAGCAAUGCCGCGUGAGUGAAGACGGCCUUAGGGUUGUAAAACUCUUUCGCUAGGGAAGGUAAUGACUGUACCUAGUAAAGAAGUCCCGGCUAACUCCGUGCCAGCAGCCGCGGUAAUACGGAGGGGACUAGCGUUGUUCGGAAUUACUGGGCGUAAAGAGUUCGUAGGCGGACUGACAAGUUAGAGGUGAAAUCCCAGGGCUCAACCCUGGAACUGCCUUUAAAACUGUCAGUCUAGAGACCGGAAGAGGUUAGGGGAAUACCUAGUGUAGAGGUGAAAUUCGUAGAUAUUAGGUGGAACACCAGUGGCGAAGGCGCCUAACUGGUCCGGUACUGACGCUGAGGAACGAAAGCGUGGGGAGCAAACAGGAUUAGAUACCCCGGUAGUC
rnacentral:rRNA from 1 species